rnacentral:ncRNA from 1 species
AAAUCGGGGGCAACAUUUUGGGACCAGUUUUGUUCCGAUACGACCAUUUGGUGGGGGGGGGGGCUACGUGAAGUUGGCCCCCCCAACAGAAAAAAUAGAAAUUGUGUUGCAAGUAUUGAGUUGCAAAUUAUGAAACCAUCGUUGCAAAUAGUUGCAAAUUCUUUGCGUAUGUUUUGUAAUUAUAUGAAAACAUGGGGGGCCAACUUCACACACGUCGGUAUCUGUAAAAAAAAUAACGCAGAUAUCCUAAGGCCAACUCAGCGAGGACGGAAACCUCGCGUAGAGCAAAAGGGAAAAUGCUGGCUUGAUCCCGGACGCUCAGUACGCGUAGAUACUGCGAAAGCAUCGGCCUCUCGUCCGCUGAAAAGUUUUCAGCGAGAGGUGUCAGAAAAGUUACCACAGGGAUAACUGGCUUGCAGCGGCCAAGCGUUCAUAGCGACGUCGCUUUUUGAUCCUUCGAUGUCAGCUCUUCCUAUCAUUGCGAAGCAAAAUUCGCCAAGCGUCGGAUUGUUCACCUACUUAAUGGAACGUGGACUGGGUUUAUACCGUCGUGGGACAGGUUAGUUUUACCUUACUGAUGCAGG